rnacentral:rRNA from 1 species
UAGGGAAUCUUCCACAAUGAGCGAAAGCCUGAUGGAGCAACGCCGCGUGUGUGAUGAAGGGUUUCGGCUCGUAAAACACUGUUGUAAGAGAAGAAUGACAUUGAGAGUAACUGUUCAAUGUGUGACGGUAUCUUACCAGAAAGGAACGGCUAAAUACGUGCCAG